UGUUACGACUUCACCCCAGUCAUGAAUCACUCCGUGGUAACCGUCCCCCUUGCGGUUAGACUAGCUACUUCUGGAGCAACCCACUCCCAUGGUGUGACGGGCGGUGUGUACAAGGCCCGGGAACGUAUUCACCGUGACAUUCUGAUUCACGAUUACUAGCGAUUCCGACUUCACGCAGUCGAGUUGCAGACUGCGAUCCGGACUACGAUCGGUUUUAUGGGAUUAGCUCCACCUCGCGGCUUGGCAACCCUUUGUACCGACCAUUGUAGCACGUGUGUAGCCCUGGC
rnacentral:rRNA from 1 species